GAGAGAUGGCUGAGUGGUCGAAAGCGCCAGAUUGCUAAUUUGGUGAUCAGGUCAAACUGAUCCGCGGGUUCAAAUCCCGCUCUCUCC
rnacentral:tRNA from 1 species